UUAGUUCUUGCUUGCUUAGUCUUGGUCAAGCUUGAUUGUAGCUUUCCAAUUCCCUUACGUGUCGAGAAGUAUUAGAAAGUAUUUUCAUUACGUUUUGCCUCUUCGUUCCCUGUGAUGCCGACUUCUUGACUGCAACUCGUUGUGCAUGCCUGCGAAAAGAAUUGAUGCAUUAUUGGCCGCAGCCUGUGCUUAUGUGCAUCCAAUCGCCUACAACUGAUCGGAAUGAUCAUUUGACCUCCUUGUCUCUGUUCUCUACUAGAGCGCUAUCUAGCUUUGUAAGGUUUUCCAUUGGGUAUUGUUGUCACCUAGUCUGAGUUGAUGCCAGAGGUGCAUUGCUGCGCGAGAAACUGGACAGGCUUGCCGAUGUUCUCUUAUAGUUCUUUAUGCUGCGAUGCGCCUUCACCAACAAUUAUGAUGAUCUCAAAUUUUCGAUUGGCGACUGCAGUGAAGAGCAC
rnacentral:lncRNA from 1 species